GACAGUUGACAGGAUACCGCCGACGAUUGUAAACUACGGCGCCGGAAAGUGAAGGAAGUAAUGGACGGAUAAGGAGGUGGUGAGUAAACAGAGGCGGUAGGUGAGGCGGCGGCGGCGGCGGCGGAGGUUUUAGGGAAGCGAGAAAAACCCUAGCUGAGGCGGCAGCCAUUAAAGACGGCGAUUUUUUUGUGUGGCUUUGAAUGCCUCCGGCGAAAGGAGAAAUUCUCAGGUAUUCGUUCGAUUAUCUAUCUAACUUCCUCAUCUUUUUUCAUUCAUUCUACCCAAUUCGUUUUCGUGUUUUUG
rnacentral:lncRNA from 1 species